UAUUAAAAAAUUCAUCCAUUUCACUGUUAAAAACUAGUGUCGUUGAUAGAAUAGCCAGACAGUUACAUGUGGCAUGCCACGUGUACCUCAUUCUGAUGUACAGAGACCAGUUUUUAACAGUAGGAAUAGAUGAAAAUUUUAACA
rfam:Gossypium hirsutum cultivar TM-1 chromosome 22, whole genome shotgun sequence